AGCGAACGCUGGCGGCAGGCUUAACACAUGCAAGUCGAGCGGACCUUUCGGGGUCAGCGGCGGACGGGUGAGUAACGCGUGGGAACGUGCCUUCCGGUUCGGAAUAACCCUGGGAAACUAGGGCUAAUACCGGAUACGCCCUUAUGGGGAAAGGUUUACUGCCGGAAGAUCGGCCCGCGUCUGAUUAGCUAGUUGGUGGGGUAACGGCCUACCAAGGCGACGAUCAGUAGCUGGUCUGAGAGGAUGAUCAGCCACACUGGGACUGAGACACGGCCCAGACUCCUACGGGAGGCAGCAAUGGGGAAUAUUGGACAAUGGGCGCAAGCCUGAUCCAGCCAUGCCGCGUGAGUGAUGAAGGCCUUAGGGUUGUAAAGCUCUUUUAUCCGGGACGAUAAUGACGGUACCGGAGGAAUAAGCCCCGGCUAACUUCGUG
rnacentral:rRNA from 1 species